rnacentral:lncRNA from 1 species
CCCAACAAAGAGACAUAGUCUUUUUUUAUUCAAGAUCAAACACUACCACAACCAUAGCAAACAUGACAAUUUUCUAGGGAUACUGGCAAGAUCUGGAUACAUGGUUCUUAAACAGGACACUCAAACUCGAUCCACAGCACAAGAAACCGUAAUAACAAACACAUCUUCAAAAACAGAGGGCAUAAUAGUGACAUUAUCCCCAGCUUACAGCCUGUUCUUUAACACAAAAUUAUACCACCCUAGGCCAAAAGAACACUGGCUUGGAUUCUCACAAUGCCAGACAAGCUUAAUUUUGUACUGCUUCACAGCCAUGUAGACCAAGAUGCAGUGGGUAUAUUUCCUAUCGAACCACAUAGACACAAACCACGAAGGUAUGGCCUGAAGUGAAAAAUAUAACACAAAAUUAAUUAAAUAUUUAGGAAACUAAGGGGGAAAUGUAAUUGUGUGUAAAAAACAAAAGCUUACCAAGCACUGGUCUCCACCGGCUUAAGACAUAGUAAUGUCCUUAUUAAAGCCAGGGCCAAAGGGAAGCCGCCCAGCCCGAGUGAUCUUCCCU